GAUGAAGAACGCAGCGAAAUGCGAUACGUAAUGUGAAUUGCAAAUUCAGUGAAUCAUCGAGUCUUUGAACGCACAUUGCGCCCCCUGGUAUUCCGGGGGGCAUGCCUGUCCGAGCGUCAUUGCUGCCCUCAAGCACGGCUUGUGUGUUGGGCCCCGUCCUCCGAUCCCGGGGGACGGGCCCGAAAGGCAGCGGCGGCACCGCGUCCGGUCCUCGAGCGUAUGGGGCUUUGUCACCCGCUCUGUAGGCCCGGCCGGCGCUUGCCGAUCAACCCAAAUUUUUAUCCAGGUUGACCUCGGAUCAGGUAGGGAUACCCGCUGAACUUAAGCAUAUCAAUAAGCGGGAGGA
rnacentral:misc_RNA from 1 species